AUUGAACGCUGGAGGUAUGCUUAACACAUGCAAGUCGAACGCGAACGUUUCUUCGGAAACAAGUAGAGUGGCGGACGGGUGAGUAACGCGUAGGAAUCUACCUAGUAGUGGGGGAUAACAUGGAGAAAUUCAUGCUAAUACCGCAUAUGUUCUAUGGAAUAAAGAGGGCCUCUUCUUGAAAGCUCUUGCUAUUAGAUGAGCCUGCGUCGGAUUAGCUAGUUGGUAAGGUAAUGGCUUACCAAGGCGACGAUCCGUAGCUGGUCUGAGAGGAUGAUCAGCCACACUGGGACUGAGACACGGCCCAGACUCCUACGGGAGGCAGCAGUGGGGAAUAUUGGACAAUGGGCGCAAGCCUGAUCCAGCAAUACCUCGUGUGUGAAGAAGGCCUUAGGGUUGUAAAGCACUUUCAAUUGGGAAGAAGAUUGUAAAAUUAAUACUUUUAUAAUUUGACGGUACCUUUAGAAGAAGCACCGGCUAACUCCG
rnacentral:rRNA from 1 species